CGGAUGGAAGCCCGCUGGAUUGGGCGCCUAGCUGUUAACUAGGAAUUUACGGGAUCGAGGCCCGUCUGUCUAG
rnacentral:tRNA from 1 species